rnacentral:rRNA from 1 species
CCUGGCGGCCUUAGCGCGGUGGUCCCACCUGACCCCAUGCCGAACUCAGAAGUGAAACGCCGUAGCGCCGAUGGUAGUGUGGGGUCUCCCCAUGCGAGAGUAGGGAACUGCCAAGU